rnacentral:rRNA from 1 species
CGGUAACAUUUCUAGCUUGCUAGAAGAUGACGAGUGGCGGACGGGUGAGUAAUGCUUGGGAACUUGCCUUUGCGAGGGGGAUAACAGUUGGAAACGACUGCUAAUACCGCAUAAUGUCUUCGGACCAAACGGGGCUUCGGCUCCGGCGCAAAGAGAGGCCCAAGUGAGAUUAGCUAGUUGGUAAGGUAACGGCUUACCAAGGCGACGAUCUCUAGCUGUUCUGAGAGGAAGAUCAGCCACACUGGGACUGAGACACGGCCCAGACUCCUACGGGAGGCAGCAGUGGGGAAUAUUGCACAAUGGGGGAAACCCUGAUGCAGCCAUGCCGCGUGUGUGAAGAAGGCCUUCGGGUUGUAAAGCACUUUCAGUUGUGAGGAAAAGUUAGUAGUUAAUACCUGCUAGCCGUGACGUUAACAACAGAAGAAGCACCGGCUAACUCCGUGCCAGCAGCCGCGGUAAUACGGAGGGUGCGAGCGUUAAUCGGAAUUACUGGGCGUAAAGCGCACGCAGGCGGUUUGUUAAGCUAGAUGUGAAAGCCCCGGGCUCAACCUGGGAUGGUCAUUUAGAACUGGCAGACUAGAGUCUUGGAGAGGGGAGUGGAAUUCCAGGUGUAGCGGUGAAAUGCGUAGAUAUCUGGAGGAACAUCAGUGGCGAAGGCGACUCCCUGGCCAAAGACUGACGCUCAUGUGCGAAAGUGUGGGUAGCGAACAUGAUUAGAUACCCUGGUAGUCCACACCGUAUACGCUGUCUACUAGCUGUGUGUGCCUUUA